GUCAGCUCGUGCCGUGAGGUGUUGGGUUAAGUCCCGUAACGAGCGAAACCCUUGCGACCAGUUGCCAGCACGUAGCGGUGGGGACUUGGUCGGACCGCCGGCGUCAAGCCGGAGGAAGGCGGGGACGACGUCAAGUCAUCAUGGCCCUUAUGCCCGGGGCUGCACACGUGCUACAAUGGGGCGGACAGGGCGACGCCAGCGCGCAAGCGUGAGCCAAUCGCGGAAACCGCCCCCCAGUUCGGAUUGCGGGCUGCAACCCGCCCGCAUGAAGCCGGAAUCGCUAGUAAUCGCGGAUCAGCACGCCGCGGUGAAUGGGUUCCUGAGCCUUGUACACACCGCCCGUCAAGCCACCAAAGCGGGGGGCACCCGAAGUCGCCGAAGCCGCGAGGCAGGCGCCGAAGGUGAGACCCGUGAUGGGGACUAAGUCGUAACAAGGUAACC
rnacentral:rRNA from 1 species